UAUAAUUAUUGCCACCAUGUACAGCAUUUUGUUUAUAAAACAUUUUUUCUGUUAGCAAGUAAUUAAGAGCAAAGUUCAAACACAAUACUUAUGAACUUUCUUGGUGAGCAAUUGUACAAAGCAGUAUGUAGUUAACAGUAAUUCCACCUUGUUUUCUUCAAGAGCAACACAGGAAGAUUAAGUCGGACACACUCCUCAGGUGAAUCAAACAGUGUCAGCAAAUCUCUUGGACUGAGAAGUCAGACUUUACACCAUGCUUUGCAUAUCUUUUUCACAUAAAGAUCAGAUACUUACCAAAAAAAGGACUGCACAUUCAGGAGAACAUCUGACGUGAGUCUCUACUGUGAUUUUGACCCUGAGUCCCUGCAACCGAACACUUCAUGAUCAUGGCACAGGAAGACACUUUUUCUUUAACAUUCCUUGAAAUAUUGCAACAGCUGCCAAAAAGAGUCCUGUCAUACUGA
rnacentral:lncRNA from 1 species